AACGCAUAUUGCGCCCCUUGGUAUUCCGGGGGGCACACCUGUUCGAGCGUCAUUACACCAAUCAAGCAUUGCUUGGUAUUGGGUAUAGUCCCCUAUUUUUAGGGGACUGACCUUAAAAUCUUUGGCGGCGCAGUCCGGCUUCAGGCGUAGCAGAAAUUACUCGUCUAUGGGGUCUUGAUCGUGUCUUGUCCAUAAAAAUUUUUAUUUUUCAAAGGUUGACCUCGGAUCAGGUGGGGAUACCCGCUGAACUUAA
rnacentral:misc_RNA from 1 species